rnacentral:rRNA from 1 species
AGCAGCCGCGGUAAUUCCAGCUCCAAUAGCGUAUAUUAAAGUUGUUGCAGUUAAAAAGCUCGUAGUUGAAUUUCGGGGUCAGUAAGUCGGUCGUGCCACCGGUAUGUACUGGCUUCACUGAUUCCUCCCUCUUGUAGAACCGUAAUGCCAUUAAUUUGGUGUUGCGGGGAAACAGGACUGUUACUUUGAAAAAAUUAGAGUGUUUAAAGCAGGCUAACGCUUGAAUACAUUAGCAUGGAAUAAUGAAAUAGGACGAUCGAUCCUAUUUUGUGGUUUCUAGGAUUGACGUAAUGAUUAAUAGGGAUAGUUGGGGGCAUUAGUAUUCAAUUGUCAGAGGUGAAAUUCUUGGAUUUUAUGUAAGACUAACUACUGCGAAAGCAAUUUGCCAAGGAUGUUUUCAUUAAUCAAGAACGAAAGUUAGGGGAUCGAAGACGAUCAGAUACCGUCGUAGUCUUAACCAUAAACUAUGCCGACUAGGGAUCGGAUGAUGUUAAUUUUUAAUGUACUCAUUCGGCGCCUU